GUUGUAUAGUCAAGUAAUUAAGUGCAUGUGGUGGAUGCCUUGGCAGUCAGAGGCGAUGAAAGACGUGAUAGCCUGCGAAAAGCUCCGGGGAGGCGGCAAAUAUCCUUUGAUCCGGAGAUGUCUGAAUGGGGGAACCCACCUACUUUAAGGUAGGUAUUGCAACAUGAAUACAUAGUGUUGCAAGGCGAACGAGGGGAAGUGAAACAUCUCAGUACCCUUAGGAAAAGAAAUCAAUUGAGAUUCCCUCAGUAGCGGCGAGCGAACGGGGAUCAGCCCAUUAAGUUAUGUGUGUUUUAGUGGAACGCUCUGGGAAGUGCGAACGUAGAGGGUGAUAUUCCCGUACACGAAAGGGCACACAUAAUGAUGACGAGUAGGGCGAGGCACGUGAAACCUUGUCUGAAUAUGGGGGGACCAUCCUCCAAGGCUAAAUACUCCUGACUGACCGAUAGUGAACCAGUACCGUGAGGGAAAGGCGAAAAGAACCCCUGUGAGGGGAGUGAAAUAGAUCCUGAAACCGCAUGCAUACAAGCAGUGGGAGCACCUUCGUGGUGUGACUGCGUACCUUUUGUAUAAUGGGUCAGCGACUUAUAUUCAGUAGCAAGGUUAACCGUAUAGGGGAGCCGUAGAGAAAUCGAGUCUUAAUAGGGCGUUUAGUUGCUGGGUAUAGACCCGAAACCAGGCGAUCUAUCCAUGAGCAGGUUGAAGGUUGGGUAACACUAACUGGAGGACCGAACCCACUGUCGUUGAAAAGCCAGGGGAUGACUUGUGGAUAGGGGUGAAAGGCUAAUCAAGCCUGGUGAUAGCUGGUUCUCCCCGAAAGCUAUUUAGGUAGCGCCUCGGACGAAUACCAUAGGGGGUAGAGCACUGUUUCGGCUAGGGGGUCAUCCCGACUUACCAAACCGAUGCAAACUCCGAAUACCUAUGAGUACUAUCCGGGAGACAGACUGCGGGUGCUAACGUCCGUAGUCAAGAGGAAAACAAUCCAGACCGCCAGCUAAGGCCCCAAAAUCAUAGUUAAGUGGGAAACGAUGUGGGAAGGCAUAGACAGCUAGGAGGUUGGCUUAGAAGCAGCCACCCUUUAAAGAAAGCGUAAUAGCUCACUAGUCGAGUCGGCCUGCGCGGAAGAUGUAACGGGGCUAAAACUAUGUGCCGAAGCUGCGGAUGUAUACUUUGUAUACGUGGUAGGGGAGCGUUCUGUAAGCCGAUGAAGGUGUGUUGAGAAGCAUGCUGGAGGUAUCAGAAGUGCGAAUGCUGACGUGAGUAACGACAAAACGGGUGAAAAACCCGUUCGCCGAAAGACCAAGGGUUCCAGUCCAACGUUAAUCGGGGCUGGGUGAGUCGACCCCUAAGGCGAGGCCGAAAGGCGUAGUCGAUGGGAAAAUGGUUAAUAUUCCAUUACUUCUGUGUAAUGCGAUGAGAGGACGGAGAAGGCUAAAUCAGCCUGGCGUUGGUUGUCCAGGUGAAAGGAUGUAGGCAUGUAUCUUAGGCAAAUCCGGGGUACUCUAUGCUGAGAUCUGAUAGCAAGCUGUACUUGUACAGCGAAGUGGUUGAUGCCAUGCUUCCAGGAAAAGUCUCUAAGCUUCAGUUACACAGGAAUCGUACCCGAAACCGACACAGGUGGUCAGGUCGAGUAGACCAAGGCGCUUGAGAGAACUCUGCUGAAGGAACUAGGCAAAAUGGUACCGUAACUUCGGGAGAAGGUACGCUGUUGUUGGUGAUGGAACUCGCUUCCUGAGCUGACGACAGCCGCAGAAACCAGGCCGCUGCAACUGUUUAUUAAAAACAUAGCACUCUGCAAACACGAAAGUGGACGUAUAGGGUGUGAUGCCUGCCCGGUGCUGGAAGGUUAAUUGAUGGGGUUAGCGUAAGCGAAGCUCUUGAUCGAAGCCCCAGUAAACGGCGGCCGUAACUAUAACGGUCCUAAGGUAGCGAAAUUCCUUGUCGGGUAAGUUCCGACCUGCACGAAUGGCAUAAUGAUGGCGGCGCUGUCUCCAGCAGAGGCUCAGUGAAAUCGAAAUCGCUGUGAAGAUGCAGUGUACCCGCGGCUAGACGGAAAGACCCCGUGAACCUUUACUGCAGCUUGACACUGAACUUUGACCUUACUUGUGUAGGAUAGGUGGGAGGCUUGAAGCUGGAACGCUAGUUCCAGUGGAGCCGUCCUUGAAAUACCACCCUGGUAAUGUUGAGGUUCUAACUCUGUCCCGUGAUCCGGGACGAGGACCGUGUCUGGUGGGUAGUUUGACUGGGGCGGUCUCCUCCUAAAGAGUAACGGAGGAGUACGAAGGUGCGCUCAGCGUGGUCGGAAAUCACGCGUAGAGUAUAAAGGCAAAAGCGCGCUUAACUGCGAGACCCACAAGUCGAGCAGGUACGAAAGUAGGUCUUAGUGAUCCGGUGGUUCUGUAUGGAAGGGCCAUCGCUCAACGGAUAAAAGGUACUCUGGGGAUAACAGGCUGAUACCGCCCAAGAGUUCAUAUCGACGGCGGUGUUUGGCACCUCGAUGUCGGCUCAUCUCAUCCUGGGGCUGAAGCAGGUCCCAAGGGUAUGGCUGUUCGCCAUUUAAAGAGGUACGCGAGCUGGGUUUAGAACGUCGUGAGACAGUUCGGUCCCUAUCUACCGUGGGCGCUGGAAAUUUGAGAGGAUCUGCUCCUAGUACGAGAGGACCAGAGUGGACGAACCUCUGGUGUACCGGUUGUGACGCCAGUCGCAUCGCCGGGUAGCUAUGUUCGGAAGGGAUAACCGCUGAAAGCAUCUAAGCGGGAAGCCUACCUCAAGAUAAGAUUUCCCUAGGACUUUAUGUCCUCUAAAGAGCCGUUCGAGACUAGGACGUUGAUAGGUUGGAUGUGGAAGCAUAGUGAUAUGUGAAGCUGACCAAUACUAAUUGCUCGUGAGGCUUGACUAUACAACACCCAAGCAGUUG
rnacentral:rRNA from 1 species